rnacentral:tRNA from 1 species
GGAGAUGUGGCCCUGUGGUAAAAGCACUUGCCUAGCAUGUGGGAGGCCCUGAGUCCAAUCCCCAGCAUCACCA